rnacentral:rRNA from 1 species
AACGCGAAGAACCUUACCCACCUUUGACAUGUACGGAAUUUGCCAGAGAUGGCUUAGUGCUCGAAAGAGAGCCGUAACACAGGUGCUGCAUGGCUGUCGUCAGCUCGUGUCGUGAGAUGUUGGGUUAAGUCCCGCAACGAGCGCAACCCUUGUCAUUAGUUGCUACGAAAGGGCACUCUAAUGAGACUGCCGGUGACAAACCGGAGGAAGGUGGGGAUGACGUCUAGUCCUCAUGGCCCUUAUAGGUGGGGCUACACACGUCAUACAAUGGCCGGUACAAAGGGUCGCAAACCCGCGAGGGGGAGCUAAUCCAUCAAAGCCGGUCGUAGUCCGGAUCGCAGUCUGCAACUCGACUGCGUGAAGUCGGAAUCGCUAGUAAUCGUGGAUCAGCAUGUCACGGUGAAUACGUUCCCGGGUCUUGUACACACC